ensembl:snRNA U6 U6 spliceosomal RNA
AUGCUCGCUUUGGCAGCAUUUCUACUAACAUUGGAAAGAUAGAGAGAUUAGCAUGGCCCUGCACAAAGAUGACACACAACUUUGUGAAGUGUUCCGUGUUUUU